rnacentral:rRNA from 1 species
GACGAACGCUGGCGGCGUGCCUAACACAUGCAAGUCGAGCGAUGAAACUUCCUUCGGGAAGUGAAUUAGCGGCGGACGGGUGAGUAUCACGUGGGCAACCUGCCUCAAAGAGGGGAAUAGCCUUCCGAAAGGAAGAUUAAUACCGCAUAAUAUUAGAAAUUCGCAUGAAUUUCUAAUCAAAGGAGUAAUCCGCUUUGAGAUGGGCCCGCGGCGCAUUAGCUAGUUGGUGGGGUAAUAGCCUACCAAGGUAACGAUGCGUAGCCGACCUGAGAGGGUGAACGGCCACAUUGGAACUGAGAUACGGUCCAGACUCCUACGGGAGGCAGCAGUGGGGAAUAUUGCGCAAUGGGGGAAACCCUGACGCAGCAACGCCGCGUGAGCGAUGAAGGUCUUCGGAUCGUAAAGCUCUGUCUUUUGGGACGAUAAUGACGGUACCAAAAGAGGAAGCCACGGCUAACUACGUGCCAGCAGCCGCGGUAAUACGUAGGUGGCGAGCGUUGUCCGGAAUUACUGGGCGUAAAGGGUGCGUAGGCGGAUAUUUAAGUCAGAUGUGAAAUACCCAGGCUUAACUUGGGAGUUGCAUUUGAAACUGGAUAUCUAGAGUACAGGAGAGGAAAGCGGAAUUCCUAGUGUAGCGGUGAAAUGCGUAGAUAUUAGGAAGAACACCAGUGGCGAAGGCGGCUUUCUGGACUGUAACUGACGCUGAGGCACGAAAGCGUGGGUAGCAAACAGGAUUAGAUACCCUGGUAGUCCACGCCGUAAACGAUGAAUACUAGGUGUAGGAGGGUCCAACCUUCUGUGCCGCAGUUAACACAUUAAGUAUUCCGCCUGGGGAGUACGGUCGCAAGACUAA